AUUGAACGCUGGCGGCAUGCUUUACACAUACAAGUCGAACGAGUGGCGAACGGGUGAGUAAUAUAUCGGAACGUACCGAGUAAUGGGGGAUAACCAAUCCAAAGAUUGGCUAAUACCGCAUAUUAUUCGAGCGGCCGAUAACUGAUUAGCUAGUUGGUGGGGUAAAGGCCUACCAAGGCGACCAUCAGUAGCGGGUCUGAGAGGACGAUCGGCCACACGGGGACUGAGACACGGCCCAGAAUCCGACGGGAGGCAGCAGAGGGGAAUUUUGGGGAAUGGGGGCAACCCUGAGCCAGCCAAGCCGCGUGUAUGAAGAAGGCCUUCGGGUUGUAAAGUACUUUUGUUAGGGAAGCGGUACCUAAAGAAUAAGCACCGGCUAACUACGUGCCAGCCGCCGCGGUAAUAC
rnacentral:rRNA from 1 species